rnacentral:rRNA from 1 species
AUUGAACGCUGGCGGCAGGCUUAACACAUGCAAGUCGAACGAGCGGCGGACGGGUGAGUAAUGUCUGGGAAACUGCCUGAUGGAGGGGGAUAACUACGGGAAACGGUAGCUAAUACCGCAUACCAUCGGAUGUGCCCAGAUGGGAUUAGCUAGUAGGUGGGGUAAUGGCUCACCUAGGCGACGAUCCCUAGCUGGUCUGAGCGGAUGACCAGCCACACGGGAACUGAGGCACGGUCCAGACUCCUACGGGAGGCAGCAGUGGGGAAUAUUGCACAAUGGGGGCAAGCCUGAGGCAGCCAUGCCGCGUGUGUGAAGAAGGCCUUCGGGUUGUAAAGCACUUUCAGUGAGGAGGCGUUACCCGCAGAAGAAGCACCGGCUAACUCCGUGCCAGCAGCCGCGGUAAUAC